CUUGGUCAUUUAGAGGAAGUAAAAGUCGUAACAAGGUCUCCGUUGGUGAACCUGCGGUUGGAUCAUUAAUAAAUUUUAUUAAAGGUGUAAUAAAAGCGUUUGAAAAAACCUUUUUUAUACUCUUUAACAAAUUUUGUGAAUUUUAUUAACGUUUUUUGGGUAGAUCAUCUUUAAAGAUUGUUUUACCCAACAAAUUAUUUAAACCAAAAUUUUUUUAAAAAAUGUCUUUAAAAUGUUUUAUUUACAAAAAUAAUUUAAAAACAACUUUUAACAACGGAUCUCUUGGCUCUCGCAACGAUGAAGAACGCAGCGAAAUGCGAUAAGUAAUGUGAAUUGCAAAAUUCCGUGAAUCAUCAAAUCUUUGAACGCACAUUGCGCUUCCUGGUAUUCCGGGGAGCAUAUCUGUUUGAGAAUCAGUAUUAAUAUCAAAAUUUAGAAUUUAUUUUCUAAAUUUUGGAUUUGAGGAUUUUACUGUUAAAAAGGUAAUCCUUUAAUGAUAUUUAAAUGUUUUUUAAACUAGUUGUUGAUAAAAACUAAAGCAUGACUAAUGAGGGUUUACCCUCUAAAGAUUGCCUAUGGUUUUUAUUUACAAUUUUAACUAAUUUUUAAAACUAUUUAUUUAAUAUUACACGAAGAAAAUUUAAUAUUUUCUUUAAGACUUGAUCUCAAAUCAGAUAAGACUACCCGCUGAACUUAAGCAUAUCAAUAAGCGGAGGA
rnacentral:rRNA from 1 species